CGCAGCGUGGCCGAGUGGUCUAAGGCGCUGGUGGUCGGCACCAGUCAUCAGUGCGAUGGCGUGGGUUCGAAUCCCACCGCUGCAA
rfam:Strongylocentrotus purpuratus Contig88794_fixed, whole genome shotgun sequence.